rnacentral:rRNA from 1 species
UACGGAGGGUGCAAGCGUUAAUCGGAAUUACUGGGCGUAAAGCGUGCGCAGGCGGUUUGUUAAGUCCGCUGUGAAAUCCCCGAGCUCAACUUGGGAAUUGCAGUGGAUACUGGCAAGCUGGAGUAUGGUAGAGGAAGGUGGAAUUCCCGGUGUAGCAGUGAAAUGCGUAGAGAUCGGGAGGAACACCAGUGGCGAAGGCGGCCUUCUGGACCGAUACUGACGCUGAGGAGCGAAAGCGUGGGGAGCGAACAGG